CUGUGUGUAAAGUUUCAAGGUCUCUCUUCAGAUGAUAUACUACAGGCUUUCAGAAUAGUAUCUCGAUGUGUUGAUUUUAGAUUUAAAAGAAUAUGUUGCCUCAUUUCUUAGAAUACCAUGUACCGAAUGUUAUAUUCUCUAUGAAGAAAAAAGCGGUUUUUACCGACUCGGUGUACUAACUGCAAUAUCAGCUGACGACCUUUACUCUUAUUGGUUAUUGCGUUUACUUAUGUCGGGUGGAAAUGUGAUUGACAAAGAAAACUAGUCAAAAUGUGUGGUGUAGUGUGGCUACAUUUGAUAUACCGAGUGUCUGGAAAAUGGCGGAUUUACUCUCCGCUCUUUAAAUCAACUGGGUUGCGACGUAUUCGAAGAGCGAGCUCCACAUAAAUUCGAUGAACUGUUGGAAGUUAAGGCAGGGAAGGUAUGCCAAGCUGUACCUCCAGAGGUUCCAAAGUCAUAAGGAGGGGUUGACUUUAAAGCAGCACUGUAUGAUAUCUUAAUGAAUGCUCGAUAUGAAUGCGUUGGACCUCUUGACAGAAAUUAAAGCCUGUUAUUAAUUACCUGGUUUAUUUCAACUACAAGUGUUCGUGA